CACUCCUACUUCAAGGUUGGAUGUUUACUAUUCAAUUUCAAAGCAGGAGUGGU
rnacentral:pre_miRNA from 2 species